rnacentral:rRNA from 1 species
AGUGAACGCUGGCGGCAGGCCUAACACAUGCAAGUCGAACGGCAGCACAAGAGAGCUUGCUCUCUGGGUGGCGAGUGGCGGACGGGUGAGGAAUGCAUCGGAAUCUGCCCAUUUGUGGGGGAUAACCUCGGGAAACCGGGACUAAUACCGCAUACGACCUACGGGUGAAAGCAGGGGAUCUUCGGACCUUGCGCAGAUGGAUGAGCCGAUGCCGGAUUAGCUAGUUGGAGGGGUAAAGGCCCACCAAGGCGACGAUCCGUAGCUGGUCUGAGAGGAUGAUCAGCCACACUGGGACUGAGACACGGCCCAGACUCCUACGGGAGGCAGCGGUGGGGAAUAUUGGACAAUGGGCGCAAGCCUGAUCCAGCCAUGCCGCGUGUGUGAAGAAGGCCUUCGGGUUGUAAAGCACUUUUGUUGGGAAAGAAAAGCAGCCGGUUAAUACCCGGUUGUCAUGACGGUACCCAAAGAAUAAGCACCGGCUAACUUCGUG